CGCAUCUGUGCAUGCAGCAUAUCAAUAAGCGGAGGAAAAGAAACUAACAAGGAUUCCCCUAGUAACGGCGAGUGAAGCGGGAAGAGCUCAAAUUUGAAAUCUUAAAGGGUUUCCCUUUACGAAUUGUAGUUUAAAGAAGUGUUUUCUGUUGAGGUUUUGGUAAAAGUUCUUUGGAAUAGGACAUCAUAGAGGGUGAGAAUCCCGUAUUUGACCUUUACUUUCAACUUUGUGAUACACUUUCAAAGAGUCGGAUUGUUUGGGAAUGCAGUCCAAAAUGGGUGGUAAAUUUCAUCUAAAGCUAAAUAUUGGCGAGAGACCGAUAGCGAACCAGUACCGUGAGGGAAAGAUGAAAAGAACUUUGAAAAGAGAGUUAAACAGUACGCGAAAUUGUCAAAAGGGAAGCGUUUGACACCAGUGUUGUUUUUCUGAAAAUCAAUUAAAGAACUGUUUAUGCUAAGCUGUUUAGACUUUAUCAGCUAAUCUGUUUAGUUUUGAGCUUUUCUUUAAUGCACUUUUCAGUUAACAAGUCAACAUCAAUUUCUUUUGCUGUAAAAAAGCUUGAGGAAGGUGGCUUGAGAUUCGUCUUAAGUGUUUAUAGCCUCUUGCCUAUGCAGUCGGAGAGAUUGAGGUCUGCAGCGUAGAUCCUUCGGGGCUAAAUGCAUUUGUGCUAAGUUAUAGCAUUUUAUAGACAACUUGUUGACUAUGAUUUGUCUUGUAGCUUACUCGCUUAUGUUAUUUUACCUACGCUUAGGAUGUUGAAUCUGUGCGAGACUAC
rnacentral:rRNA from 1 species